rnacentral:snRNA from 1 species
GUAAUUUUUACAGAUGACUUAAACUCAUAGAAGGUUGUUUUUCCAGGGUGAGGCUCAUCCAUUGAACUCCAGGUAUGCUGACCCCUGUGAGUUCCCCAACUCACUGUGUAAUUUGUAGUAGUAGAGGACUGCAUUCAUGUUCUCCCCUU